UUGAAGAAAUAAAAAUAUCUGAAAAAUAUUUAUGUAAAUUCUUUAAGUAACAAGUCUUCUAAUAUUACUUGCUUCAAAUGUGGUAGAGUAGGACAUAAGUCAUACACUUGCUUCUCUAACAAGUCUGCAAACUCAAAUAUAAAGAAAAUAUGAGUUUCAAAAGGAACCAUUAUGACUAACCAAAAAGGACCCAAGAAAGCUUGGGUACCUAAAACAAAAACUUGACUUUUGCUUGCAGGUGUGUCUAGCAUCCCAAGGAGG
rnacentral:lncRNA from 1 species